rnacentral:rRNA from 1 species
UACGAAGGGGGCUAGCGUUGCUCGGAAUCACUGGGCGUAAAGCGCACGUAGGCGGACUCUUAAGUCGGUGGUGAAAUCCUGGAGCUCAACUCCAGAACUGCCUUCGAUACUGAGAGUCUCGAGUCCGGGAGAGGUGAGUGGAACUGCGAGUGUAGAGGUGAAAUUCGUAGAUAUCAUUUGGAACGCCAAUGGUGAAAACAGGUAGCUGGGAGUGUGCUGACGCUGAGACACGAAAGCCAGGGGAGCAAACGGG